ACCCAUCCACCACCACCACUCUCUAGGUGCAACCCCUAAGCCAAUUUGCCACCCACCUGACCAUGUAAUCAUGUAUGUCACAGCUGCUCAAGGUGUUUUUAAAGAAAAGGAGGAGAUACCAU